CCUACGGGAGGCAGCAGUGAGGAAUAUUGGUCAAUGGACGAGAGUCUGAACCAGCAAAGUAGCGUGAGGGAUGACUGCCCUAUGGGUUGUAAACUUCUUUUAUAUGGGAAUAAAACGUUCCACGUGUGGGAUUUUGUAUGUACCAUAUGAAUAAGGAUCGGCUAACUCCGUGCCAGCAGCCGCGGUAAUACGGAGGAUCCGAGCGUUAUCCGGAUUUAUUGGGUUUAAAGGGAGCGUAGGUGGAUUGUUAAGUCAGUUGUGAAAGUUUGCGGCUCAACCGUAAAAUUGCAGUUGAAACUGGCAGUCUUGAGUACAGUAGAGGUGGGCGGAAUUCGUGGUGUAGCGGUGAAAUGCUUAGAUAUCACGAAGAACUCCGAUUGCGAAGGCAGUUCACUGGACUGCAACUGACAUUGAGGCUCGAAAGUGUGGGUAUCAAACAGGAUUAGAUACCCCAGUAGUC
rnacentral:rRNA from 1 species